rnacentral:tRNA from 2 species
GUUUAAAUAGUUUAAAAAAAAUAUUGAUUUGUGGUGUCAAAGAUGUAAAAUUUACUUUAGACU